UUUGAUUUUCAUGAGUAUGAAAAUGGCUUUUUAUUCUCUAGUAAGAUCAUUCCAAAGACUAUUUGGCACCAUUUUUACAUCCAUUUUAAUUAGACUCCAUUUCUCUGAACAUUGCUACAUGACUCUUAAAGGGGAAUGAUACAAAAUAUAUGAAUUUUUAAAUAAAAGUGCUUUUUCAAAGGUGAGUUUCCUGUUAUGGAAUAAGUAAUCAGUGACAUACCAAGAUCUCUGUUGAAAUAUUUGAUAAUUUUUUUGAAAUGCUUUACAACUUUUUUCAAUCCAUAUCAUCUUAUGACAGGCUCCAGUUCAACUUAUAAACUGGCAGUAUUUAUUUCUAAGAGUAAUUACAACCAGAUCAGUAGAGAGCACUGCUAAAAUUUGAAAAUUGACUUCUACUUCCUUUGCAUAAAAAUGAAAGACAUAUACAGACACUUAAAGCUUGUUUAAAGCACAUGUGGAAAAUACCACAAUAUAUUUAAGCUUGUUAUAAUUAACAUGACUU
rnacentral:lncRNA from 1 species